AUCUUGCUGGUGGUACCUGCCUAUUUGAGCCCUUCUAAAGUAAAUAAAAUAAAUAACAGCCACCAAAGGCUUGGCAGCAUGACAGAGACCUUUACAGGAUGCAGAACAAGGACAAAAUUAAAAGCAGAGAGUGAAUAAACCUUUGGACAGUACUUCUGAUACUUGCAUAGCCCUGAUGAAUUUGUAUGGGAUCAUUUUAAAUUGCACCAUAUGAAAUUGCAAGUUGACCUGCAUAUCUGUACAAAGCCUUUUUGGAAUCAACCCCAAAUUUUAGAAGAAAAACUUUUGCAAAGAAAAAUGUAGUGAAAUGUUCUGGGUAGAGAAGGAGGGCCAGGCCUGGUAAGAUACGUUUGUGCUGGCAGUGAAAGGUACUGAUGUUAGAAAGGACAUGAUAAUGCAGCACUAUAGGAUGCUGUUGUGUGAAAAUCAUGAGAAGACUGCUCGUAUCAAAGCAAGUGAAAGUUAUUACUUCCAUUCCAUGCAAUCAUGCCCGUGAACCCAGGGAGCCUUGAAAUUCCCUGCCUGCAUUUUCUUCCAUUGAUUUAACAAAUCAUUCUCACUGGUUUUAUUAUACUGGAAGUGUAAAUCCUGGCCUGACUGCCAUUCUGUCUAUGUUAGUAGGAAAUCCUAUUCAGCAGUGAUGAAAUUAAUGCCUGAAAGGACGCGAUAAACUGAGGAAGAAUGAGAGACAGAAUGUCGUGUAUUUAAAAAAAAAAAAAAAAAAAGAAAAAGAAAAAAACAGAACAAGGAGCAGGGUUGCAUUAGGCUGUUUGACUUCAAAUGGCAAAUGCAAUUCUGAUG
ensembl:lncRNA